CGGCUGCGGGAUGCGAGGUACUUUGGGCCACCUCCCAUCCGUGUCUAUUGUACCCUGUUGCUUCGGCGGGCCCGCCGCUUGUCGGCCGCCGGGGGGGCGCCUCUGCCCCCCGGGCCCGUGCCCGCCGGAGACCCCAACACGAACACUGUCUGAAAGCGUGCAGUCUGAGUUGAUUGAAUGCAAUCAGUUAAAACUUUCAACAAUGGAUCUCUUGGUUCCGGCAUCGAUGAAGAACGCAGCGAAAUGCGAUAACUAAUGUGAAUUGCAGAAUUCAGUGAAUCAUCGAGUCUUUGAACGCACAUUGCGCCCCCUGGUAUUCCGGGGGGCAUGCCUGUCCGAGCGUCAUUGCUGCCCUCAAGCCCGGCUUGUGUGUUGGGUCGCCGUCCCCCUCUCCGGGGGGACGGGCCCGAAAGGCAGCGGCGGCACCGCGUCCGAUCCUCGAGCGUAUGGGGCUUUGUCACAUGCUCUGUAGGAUUGGCCGGCGCCUGCCGACGUUUUCCAACCAUUCUUUCCAGGUUGACCCUCGGAUCAGGUAGGGAUACCCGCUGAACUUAAGCAUAUCAAAAACGCGGGGAGAAAAA
rnacentral:rRNA from 1 species